rnacentral:rRNA from 1 species
CCUACGGGAGGCAGCAGUGGGGAAUAUUGGGCAAUGGGCGCAAGCCUGACCCAGCAACGCCGCGUGAAGGAAGAAGGCCCUCGGGUUGUAAACUUCUUUUGUCAGGGACGACACAAAUGACGGUACCUGACGAAUCAGCCACGGCUAACUACGUGCCAGCCGCCGCGGUAAUACGUAGGGGGCCAGCGUUAUUCGGAUUUACUGGGUGUAAAGGGCGUGUAGGCGGGAGAGCAAGUCAGAUGUGAAAUUCCAGGGCUCAACCCUGGAACUGCAUUUGAAACUGUUUUUCUUGAGUGAUGGAGAGGCAGGCGGAAUUCCGUGUGUAGCGGUGAAAGGCGUAGAUAUACGGAGGAACACCAGUGGCGAAGGCGGCCUGCUGGACAUUAACUGACGCUGAGGCGCGAAAGCGUGGGGAGCAAACAGGAUUAGAGACCCCUGUAGUC